rnacentral:rRNA from 1 species
UACGGAGGGAGCUAGCGUUAUUCGGAAUUACUGGGCGUAAAGCGCACGUAGGCGGCUUUGCAAGUUAGAGGUGAAAGCCUGGAGCUCAACUCCAGAAUUGCCUUUAAAACUGCAUCGCUUGAAUCCAGGAGAGGUGAGUGGAAUUCCGAGUGUAGAGGUGAAAUUCGUAGAUAUUCGGAAGAACACCAGUGGCGAAGGCGGCUCACUGGACUGGUAUUGACGCUGAGGUGCGAAAGCGUGGGGAGCAAACAGG